rnacentral:rRNA from 1 species
AAGCGAAUUCCAAUAUAUGUUUUCUGCUUUAUGUGCGCAUCCUCUACCUAUUAAGUGUUAAUUAAAUUAAAGGGUUUCUUUUUAAAAUCUUCUAUAACUAAUAAAAAUAUACGGAAGAUUUUGUUACUUUGAGU